rnacentral:rRNA from 1 species
CAGUCGCCGCGGUAAUACGUAGGUGGCAAGCGUUGUCCGGAAUUAUUGGGCGUAAAGGGCUCGCAGGCGGUUUCUUAAGUCUGAUGUGAGAGCCCCCGGCUCAACCGGGGAGGGUCAUUGGAAACUGGGAAACUUGAGUGCAGAAGAGGAGAGUGGAAUUCCACGUGUAGCGGUGAAAUGCGUAGAGAUGUGGAGGAACACCAGUGGCGAAGGCGACUCUCUGGUCUGUAACUGACGCUGAGGAGCGAAAGCGUGGGGAGCGAACAGGAUUAGAUACCCCGGUAGUCCCUGUCUCUUAUAC